CGGGCCGCCACCCGCGCGGGCUUCAGAUCUCCCCGUCCGCCGUGACGGCGGCGAUCCGCCGCGACGCUGGUUCCGCCCGCCGCGCCGCUCCGCGAGUGAGCGCCUCGGCCUCAGGGCUGCUCUCUGGCGCGGCCGCGGGGAUCGCCACAGGCUGCUGCUGUGCUGAGGGCAGGGAAAAAGCGCGUCGUGCGGAUCCGCGGCUCGACUCUGAAGACCGGCUCUUUUUGUUGUCACAUAUGAAGAAGAAAACCUCCCGAAGUUCGUUCCCCCAUGGUACUGUAUCAUUAUCAACAGACAAGAACAACAACAACAACAAAGCCUUUGUAUGAUAAUCAACAGAAAAUGAGAUAUAUACUGAGAGUGCAGGCUUAUUAGCUGAGUUUGGUCCAACAAAUGUUUCUCCACAGAUAAGCCCAUUGCAGUAGUAUGAGAAUGAAUACCGACAACUGGAUCUGGAGCAUCAUUUUGCUUGCACAUCGUCCAGGGAACACCUGUCUGAAGGUUUACAGCCAUUGCAGCUGCCCACCUGACAUAACGUUGCCCACUUGAGCCAAAUGCAGGCUCAACCAUUUGGUUUACUUACCUUAAAGGGUUCAUUGUCACUUCGAAAUGUAAUAUUUGGGACAUCAUGUAGCCAAAACGGAAAUCCUCUGUGCAAACAAAAGAUAUUCAGCAUUUGUUGAGCUGCACUGGGAGAUUGGAGCAACCGAGCAACUCAUGUCCACCAGGUCCCUGAUCAUAGCAGCUGGACAUUGACUUUUGUGCAAAGAUAAAUUGCCAAUAGAGAUCAAAAUUUUUCUUUGGCAAAGUUUUUUCCAAGCAACGUCGUGAACACUGACCUCAGGUGUGCUUCUGGUGUAGUGCAUCUCACCGGCGAACAGCACCCUCCUCGUGCCAUCCACUACCAGGGCCCUGCUGUCCAGCGUCACCUCUCUCCGCACGCCGUCUCCUUCCUCCACCCACCGCCUUCUCUCUGCCGCUGCCGCCGGCGUGCACACGGUCGCCAACACGGCGAGCACGGCGAUGUUUAUCGGCAUUUCUCUGGUUACUAUGGUACUUCACUCUCUGAUUCCUAGGGUACUUCACUGCUGCUCUGCUCAAGUUUCUUCUGCCUGGGGCGGUAACAUGUGCAUGAUUGGGACUUGGGGAGGUCAGGCAGUUUAAAGGGCAAUGCGUGCAUAUAUACAAUAGCGGACGCGGAGAUGGUGUUGGGAAGGUCAUGCAUGUGUACACUGUGCGUCUCUAAAAUCUACCAUGAACAUGCAUGUGGUGACAUUUUGGUCACUAGCCAGGUUGGCAA